rnacentral:rRNA from 1 species
ACGAACGCUGGCGGCGUGCUUAACACAUGCCAGUCGAACGGAAAGGCCCUGCUUGCAGGGUACUCGAGUGGCGAACGGGUGAGUAACACGUGGGUGAUCUGCCCUGCACUUCGGGAUAAGCCUGGGAAACUGGGUCUAAUACCGGAUAGGAGCCAUUUUUAGUGUGAUGGUUGGAAAGUUUUUUCGGUGUAGGAUGAGCUCGCGGCCUAUCAGCUUGUUGGUGGGGUAAUGGCCUACCAAGGCGGCGACGGGUAGCCGGCCUGAGAGGGUGGACGGCCACAUUGAGACUGAGAUACGGCCCAGACUCCUACGGGAGGCAGCAGUGGGGAAUAUUGCACAAUGGGCGCAAGCCUGAUGCAGCGACGCCGCGUGGGGGAUGACGGACUUCGGGUUGUAAACUCCUUUCGCUAGGGACGAAGCUUUUUGUGACGGUACCUAGAUAAGAAGCACCGGCUAACUACGUG